rnacentral:tRNA from 1 species
AGGGACUUAGGAUAGCACGCAUAGACCAAAAGCCUUCAAAGCUUUAAGCGGGAGUGAAAAUCUCCCAGUCCCUG